rnacentral:snRNA from 1 species
AUACUUACCCGGCAGGGGAGAUACCAUGAUCACGAAGGUGGUUUUCCCAGGGCAAGGCGUAUCCAUUGCACUCCGGAUGUGCUGACCCCUGCGAUUUCCCCAAAUGCGGGAAACUCGACUGCAUAAUUUGUGGUAGUGGGGGACUGUGUUUGCGCUCUCCCCUU